AACACAUACACUUUUGAUGAAUAAAACAGAGCGAGGCGAGCGUCAGUUGAAUGGUAAACAAGGUGCACGAAAGAGCGAUGAAGACUGUGUUGAUAGGUUUUUUGCUAUCUUUUGUAGUUUUAGCUGCUGUUGCGGACUAUAAAGAGUCAAGAUUAGAGACAUGUGGUGGAUGACGUUUGAAUCGCCUUCCUAAGGUGAAGGCAUUUAUUAAUGAUCAUGCUCAUCUAUAUGAAAAUUUUGAAGUAAAAUAUAUUGGUGGAGCAGAUCCUGAAUUGGUUUUUAUAAAGAAUGAUCAAUCUGAAGAGAGAAUUGCUGUUGAUGAAAUGGAGACUGAACAAAUAUGCAAGACAUUAGAAGAUCGUGGAUUCUCUAAACGAGCGCAAAAAGAGAUUCCGUCCCCACCUACAGAAGAAUUAUAAUUUAACAAUUUACUAGUCUCCAAAUAAUUUAUUUUCUACUAUACAUUUCCUUUUCCUGUUUGAAAUCCUUCACCUCUUAAUCUUAUUUUAUUUGAUGAACUAACAAAGUGUCAUUAGACUUUUAGCAUAUUUAAUGCUAUUUUCAUAUUACUUGUUUUUCUAUGUUUUUGCUCAAAUUAAGUAUAAAAAAAUUUCUUCAGUUAUAUAUUUUGCUGUAAAAGUUUUAUGACGGUUUUAUGCAAACAUUUAUUAACAUAAAACUUGAUCUUGUGAUAACUUAAAUUUGUGAAUAUCUUGACAGAAAUUAAA